rnacentral:lncRNA from 1 species
AAGGUGACAUUGCUAAAACUAGCCUGCCUUUUGUACAAUGACAUUUCCCCUUUUUUUCAGGUACUUAAAACAUUGCUAUUAAGCACUGAGAGGUGAAGAUACCAGACAAGAAAAUAGCAGACAAUACUGAAGUGCUUCAGGAGGAUUUGAUCUGCAGGAAAUCUUGUGUGGCUACAAUCUCCUACAAUAAAAGCUUUUAUUCACAACAGGGCAUCAGCUGUCAUCAGGAGCCCAGAGCAGAAGAGAUCUUUCCAAGGUCGUUACAGACUGUGGGGGAAUUGCAGCUAAAGCCAUUGAGCUUAAUGGGAAUUAGUCAUGCGUCCUUGAUUGUUCAGAUGUUGGAAGAGGGACCUGAAUAA